UACAGAGGGUGCAAGCGUUAAUCGGAAUUACUGGGCGUAAAGCGAGCGUAGUCGGUUAUUUAAGUCGGAUGUGAAAUCCCCGGGCUCAACCUGGGAAUUGCAUUCGAUACUGGAUAGCUAGAGUUCGGCAGAGGGAAGCGGAAUUUCUGGUGUAGCGGUGAAAUGCGUAGAUAUCAGAAGGAACAUCAGUGGCGAAAGCGGCUUCCUGGACCAGAACUGACGAUCAGGCUCGAAAGCGUGGGGAGCGAACAGG
rnacentral:rRNA from 1 species